UGGUCACAUCACAUUGAAAUACUGAUUCCUAUACGAUCACCAAAGUUAAGCAAUGUCAAGCAUGGUUAGUACCUAGAUGGGUGACUGUUUGGAAAUACUGGGUGCUGUAA